GACCCCGGGGGGCGGAGCGAGAGCCCGGGCACGGCGGCAUCCUCCGGCACGGCCAUCGCCGGGCUGCUCCAUGGAGAAGCGGGGCCCGGUGCUGCACAUCGUGGUGGUGGGCUUCCACCACAAGAAGGGCUGCCAGGUUGAAUUUUCCUAUCCUCCCCUCAAACCUGGAGAAGGACAUGACAGCCACAGUUUACCAGAGGAAUGGAAGUACUUGCCAUUUCUUGCCUUACCGGAUGGCGCUCACAACUAUCAGGAAGAUACUGUGUUUUUCCACCUGCCUCCGAGAUGCGGGGAUCGAACCACGGUGUAUGGCGUCUCCUGCUAUCGGCAAAUUGAAGCAAAAGCAUUAAAAGUACGGCAAGCAGACAUCACCCGAGAAACUGUACAGAAAAGUGUCUGUGUUCUCAGUCAGCUGCCUUUGUAUGGGUUACUUCAGGCAAAGCUGCAACUCAUCACACAUGCAUAUUUUGAAGAAAAAGACUUCUCACAGAUUUCAAUUUUAAAGGAACUUUAUGAUCAUAUGAAUAGUUCCUUGGGCAGUACUUCAUUAGAAGGGUCACAAGUUUAUCUUGGUCUGUCUCCUCGGGAUCUUGUUCUCCAUUUUAGACACAAGGUCUUGAUCCUUUUUAAAUUGAUUCUUCUAGAGAAAAAGGUGCUGUUUUAUAUUUCUCCUGUAAAUAGAUUGGUGGGAGCUCUGAUGACUGUCUUGUCACUCUUUCCUGGUAUGAUUGAACAUGGUCUUAGUGACUGCUCACAGUACAGACCAAGAAAGAGCAUAUCCGAGGAUGCUGGCUUGCAGGAAAAUACACCACGGUUAGAUGACUAUGUUUCUGUGUCUGCUGCUGAUGCUUCAAAUGCAAACUUAGGAAUGGGAAAGGGAGACAGGAAGAUGGCAGGAAAUAAUUCACUGGAAGGUCAAAAAGCAAAUGUGCCUUUCUCCCAGGCUGAGAAGACUUGCAAUGGAGCUCAGUCCUCCAAUGGUACUGUGCAGCGCUUGAAAGUUCCUUCCCGUGCUUCUCCAGCAUCCUCAGAAAGUGACUGGGAGACCCUGGAUCCCAGCAUUUUGGAGGAGUCUAAUUUGAAAGAAGGAGAACGUGAGAAUCCAGCAUCAGAACAGGCAGGAAAUCUUCGCAGCAAAGGCGUGAGCUCCGAAGGCCUUCCCAUCACUGUGCAGCCCCAGGCAAACACGGGGCACACGGUGCUUGUUCAAGGACUGGUGUCUGGGUUGGAGGAGGACCAGUAUGGGAUGCCACUGGCUAUUUUUACAAAGGGGUACCUUUGUUUGCCGUACAUGGCGCUGCAGCAGCAUCAUCUCCUGUCGGAUGUGACAGUCCGCGGCUUUGUUGCGGGAGCUACCAAUAUCCUCUUCCGUCAGCAGAAACACCUGAGUGAUGCAAUUGUGGAAAUAGAAGAUGCUCAUGUGCAAAUCCACGAUCCAGAACUCCGUAAGAUCCUGAACCCAACAACUGCUGACCUAAGAUUUUCAGAUUACUUGGUGAAGCAUGUAACUGAGAACAGAGAUGAUGUGUUCCUUGAUGGCACUGGAUGGGAAGGAGGAGAUGAGUGGAUCAGGGCUCAGUUCAGUGCUUAUCUUCAUGCACUGCUUGCUGCUGUGCUGCAACCAGACAAUGAAAAGAUUUUGUCAGACUUUGGAACAGGAUUUGUAACAGCCUGGAAAAAUACCCACAACUACAGAGUAUGGAAUAGCAACAAGCAUCCAGCUCUUGCAGAGGUAAAUUCUAGCCAUCCAUUCCAGGGACAGUACUCUGUAUCAGAUGUUAAAUUAAGGUUGUCACAUUCAGUGCAAAACAGUGAACGUGGAAAGAAGAUUGGAAAUGUGAUGGUUUCUACCAGCCGGAAUGUGGUACAAACAGGAAAAGCUGUAGGUCAGUCUGUUGGAGGAGCCUUCACGAGUGCAAAAUCAGCAAUGUCAUCAUGGUUUUCCACUUUCACACACUCAACCCAAAGUCUUGGGGACUAAAUGCUGGUUUGGCAGAAUGCUGCUGACUAUUUCAGGUGCAAUCUUUCUUUGAGCUGUAAAAAGACCACUCCAAAAUGUAGGAGUGGAGAUUACCUACCCAGGACCAAAAUAAGGACAGACUAAUAGAAUGACUGUGGAAAACAUAAAGGCAACUAUUCAAACAGCCAGUUUGAACAGUUUGAUUUAACAAGGGCAAAAAAGGCCCCAUAAGCUCUACUAAUUUAUUGCUUCUGACACACAAGUAAGAUGUAUCUAUCAAAAUGCAGCUAUUGCUCCUAGUCUCUGUGUGUCUUUGUAUCUCUCCUCAAACUUCUUUCUGUUUCAUUCCACAACUCUGUAAUAGACAUUUAUAUAUUUUUAAAGACUAGAUAUUACUUUAUAUGCAGUGAAUUAAGACAAGAGCUGUUUAUUCAUGGUGUGUCUAGAACUUUCUGAAUCAGCAUGCAGAUAUGAAAAUAAACACUUGCUUUUGUGAAAUGACUAACAUAUUAUCUGCACUCUGGGAUUUAAGUGGUCACAGUCCAUGUUCUAAUGAAGACUGAAGAAAGGUGCAUAAAGGAUUUAAUCACCUAUAAAACUGACUCCAGGAACUUAAGGCAUACCAUGGUAGAUUUAGGUUUAGGAGCUCACAGUGGUGAGUUCUAGAAGCCAGGCAAGUGGUUGGUAUUUACAUGUACAAGCUGUAGAAGCAGGACCUUCAAGGAUCCCUUUUCAAUAUCCUUGUCUUUGUUACCUCCUCACCUGAGUUUUCUCUGAGUUCUCAAAAGCUUCAAAUUUAUAUGACCAAUUUAUUGGCUCUCUGCAUUCCCCUUAUUCCCACAGAUUCCCUCGCUGGCCUAGGGGUAUUUGAUCUUUGUUUGUUUGUUUGUUUUGUUUUCUGGUGGAUUAAUCUGAAGAAAGACAGAAUGAGGCACCCUCAUCGGCUGCUUGUUGUUUUGUGCAGUGAUUCUGUUGUGAUACUUCACAAUUUCUCUCUUAUGGGCAAGAAGACCCAACAGAUCUUUCUCUGCAGCCUUUUUCUCACUGUCCCAGCUGUCUCUGUUGUGGAACCAAACAUACAACGUGAUUAAGAGUAUUUUCCUUUUGUUACAAAUGACAGAAUAAAAAACUUACGUUACUUUUCAGUCUUUUUAAGAACUGGCACCCUGCUAGCAAGUUUGACUCAGAUUUAAACUCAGAUUUAAAGAGUGAUUAAGACUCAAUGAGUGGGUAGAGAUGAAGUGAUCUUCAUAAUUAGUUGUCUUCAUUAACAUCUACGUUUCCUCUCCAACAUUUGCUUAAGCUUACUUUUGGGCUGUAGAUAGGCAUGCAGCCACUGAGGUUCAUCUAAGCCCAUGUAGUUUUCUUAACUUAAUGCUUGUAACCUCUUCAGUUAAAUCCAAUGCAAAUGCAAGUUAUUUUCCUCUCUUCUGCUUUAAUAUUUCCAGUGCAGGCAUUGUUAAUUAUUCAGAAAGAUUUAGGCAGUCGACUUCCAUUUCAAGAGCCCUGACAUCUAUUUCUGCACUGUGGGAAACAAUGGGUCCUAAGUGAAUUGGUGAUAGUGCCUCUAGUCAGUCAGCUGUGAAGGUAUUGUUACAGCUCUGUCGUGAUUUGAUGUUGCAAAGGUAUUUCUGGCUGUCAGCAUGCAGCACACACUGACUUACAGGUAACACAAUAGCACACCUCUCAACUUUCUCUCAUCACAGGCGUCAACCUCAGCUUUUUGUAUGUGCCAGCAUUUGAGGAACUGCCUGUUGAGCAUAGAAAUGAGAUGUAAGUCCCCAAACCCCAUAAGACUUAAGUGUUGCUGACCUUCUAUUUCAUUUGACUGAAGUGUUCAGCAUCUUUCAUCAGUCAGUUUCAUGUCAUAACCUUAAUUCCUGUACACAUCUCACACCAGUUUCCUCAAAUGACACAAUUUAAUUAGAAUUUUUAGGUCAUCGUUCUGGUACAUUGCACUUGUUUGACUUUGUACUUCUGUUUUAAGCACCUUUGUAAUUAAAUACAAUGUUUUGGCUAAACAAGCUUCUGAUUUCCAUACAAAUUAUUACUAAGCAGAGAAACUAAUGUGUCAGUAUUUAAUUGUAAAAGUGAAGGUGUGAAUGCAGUUUUUAAACAUAGGAACUACUGCUUGAUAAUUGAACAUACAAGUAAUGUAUUUGAUUUUUCCUGUGCUGCUUGAAAAAUAAAAUACAUCCAGACUGUUUCAAGUUCCAUCUGCUCAGUAAGCUGUAUUAUUUUAAUAAAUUAAUUCCACCAGAAGACACUUGCACUCAUCUGGUUUUGAUAUUGGUAGCUGCUUGUAAUUCACUGGCAGUAUUUCUGAAAUUUGUCUUCCAUUCAGAAUGAUUAUGGAUGCUGCUUUUUGCAAAUUUAGGACAAAAGGAUCCUCUAGAGUGACUUUUUAUUCCCUGUGGGGUGCUGCUUCUUGUGGAUUGAUUGAAGUCCUCAGGAGGUCACAGGCCUCUCUUACAUCAGUAAGAAUUUCAAGUACAACUAAAAUUUUGGUAUAGAUUUAGCUUCAAAGUAACUUGUAGUUUUUGUGGAUUGUGACAUCUGGUCAAAAUCAAGAUGUUCCGUAAAUUAAUUGCUGCACAUCCAGUUCUCUGCCAUAGGUAGCUGUUUUAAAACUUCAGAACUUCUACUGCAGCUGUCACUGUACCUGUCUAAGAACGAUUUGGUAAAUGGGUUUUCCAGAAGGAGGAAACUGACUGCCUUGAGUAAUGCUUAGAUGUGAAUUAGACAAAGGUUAUGUCUAGAGAAUGGUUGAAAUUGCCUAAAAUUUGUUAAGGUUUUUCCAACAGUGUGCAAGUAGUUGUGUAAAUACACUGGAAGAUGAAUUUACAUCAUGCUUUUUAUGCAGUGCAGUUUCACUUUCUUGCAGGUAUUUGGUUUUCAUUAAAAAGGGCAACAUGGAGAUUAUUUAUUAAAGGGAGAAACACUACAUUAUUGUAUUAUGAUUAAAGAUGUAUGAAAAAUUG